rnacentral:sRNA from 1 species
GCCAGGUGUGGUGGCGCAUGCCUGUAAUCCCAGCAACUCGGAGGCUGAGGCAGGAGGAUCAUGAGUUCAAAGCCAGCCUCAGCAAUGGUGAGGCACUAAGCAACUCAGUGAAUCCCUGUCUCUA